AAUUUGCAGGCUCAUUUAAAUGGGUCAGCAAUUCUCCCAGGGGCUCAACUUAUUGAACCACAAUCAGGUGACAAACAAUCAGCUCCCAAACUUUCAUGGUCACAAAAGUCUUCAUGGAAAGAACUUAUUGGGGAUAGGAGCAAUAGUGCCUAUUGCCUGGCUUUUCAUCUGAUAAGAAAGAGCAAUCCAAAUCUGAUGGUGUACCCAACUCCAUUAACAGCAAGAACAAGAAAUUAUUGAGGCAUGAAAAUCAGAGAGUUCAGUCGGACAAAACUGAAGUAGAAGAGCUUGUGGAAGCUCAGCCUGCCAAAAUGGAUUCUUCUUCAAAUAAGACAGGUAGAGGUUCUGCGUGGCUCCACAAAACUUCAUGGACACAAUUGGUCAAUAGUAAUAACGGCAGUUCAUUCAGCAUCACCCAAAUCUUGCCAGGUGUUACUUUUGAAAAGCAAGAGCUUGCAAAACCUCAUGGUGUAAUAACAACUGAUGCUAGAGAUCAUAAGAACAAUAAUACAAUUGAAAAGGGUAAAAGUGAAUCUUUUGUAGAUGGUACUAUGGAUUUGCAGAUUAUAAGGGACUGUGAUGUACAAAAAACUGUUGAACCUAGGCAGCUCCAUGUUCUGGGAAGUGACAAUGCUUCAGCAUCAACAGAGAAUAAACAAAAUUCAGCUACAAAGCGACCACGUAAAGGAGAUAUUGUAAUUGGUGAGACGUGCUCAUUUAUGAGGACUGAUGCAUCACUAAAAGAGUGGGCAAAUGCAAAAGCAGCUCUGAGUGGAUCACGCAAUAGAACAAGCAAGGGG
rnacentral:misc_RNA from 1 species